AAUUAUUACAUAUUCAAUGAAUUUAUUUUUUUCAUUACUAUUUCUUAUUUAUUAAAUAAUUAAAAUUAAAUAUUAAAAAUAAAAAAAAAUAAAAAAAAUAAAAAAAUAAAAAAAAUAAAAAAAACUAAAAUAAAAAAAUUAUAAAAAAAAUAGGGGGAUGUAUGCGCCAGAUGAACUGGGGCAUACACCAAGCAAAUGAACAUAGGCACC
rnacentral:lncRNA from 1 species